rnacentral:rRNA from 1 species
UACGUAGGGACCAAGCGUUGUUCGGAUUUACUGGGCGUAAAGGGCGCGUAGGCGGCAAUUCAAGUCAUCUGUGAAAUCUCCGGGCUUAACCCGGAACGGUCAGGUGAUACUGUUUUGCUAGAGUGCGGAAGGGGCAAUCGGAAUUCUCGGUGUAGCGGUGAAAUGCGUAGAUAUCGAGAGGAACACCAGAGGUGAAGACGGGUUGCUGGGCCGACACUGACGCUGACCGCGCGAAAGCCAGGGGAGCAAACGGG